AUUGAACGCUGGCGGAAGGCCUAACACAUGCAAGUCGAGCGAGCGGCGGACGGGUGAGUAAUGUAUGGGGACUGCCCGAUAGAGGGGGAUAAAUACUGGAAACGGUAGCUAAUACCGCAUACUAUCGGAUAACCCAUAUGGGAUUAGCUAGUAGGUGAGGUAAGGGCUCACCUAGGCGACGAUCCCUAGCUGGUCUGAGAGGAUGAGCAGCUGCACUGGGACUGAGACACGGCCCAGACUCCUACGGAGGCAGCAGUGGGGAAUAUUGCACAAUUGGCGCAAGCCUGAUGCAGCCAUGCCGCGUGUAUGAAGAAGGCCCUAGGGUUGUAAAGUACUUUCAGUCGGGAGUCGUUACCGACAGAAGAAGCACCGGCUAACUCCGUGCCAGCCGCCGCGGUAAUUC
rnacentral:rRNA from 1 species